UAGAACUAUGUUUGUAUGGAAUGGGAUCGUUUGCCUACGUUUGCCGUUAGGGGCGCUGUUCCAACUGCAUACAAAAUUGGGUUA
rnacentral:pre_miRNA from 1 species